rnacentral:rRNA from 1 species
GUGAGGAAUAUUGGUCAAUGGACGAGAGUCUGAACCAGCCAAGUCGCGUGAAGGAAGACGGUUCUAUGAAUUGUAAACUUCUUUUGUGUAGGAAUAAAGUGGGUUACGUGUAACCUUUUGUAUGUACUGUACGAAUAAGGAUCGGCUAACUCCGUGCCAGCAGCCGCGGUAAUACGGAGGAUCCGAGCGUUAUCCGGAUUUAUUGGGUUUAAAGGGUGCGUAGGUGGAUUGAUAAGUCAGCGGUGAAAGUUUGCAGCUUAACUGUAAAAUUGCCGUUGAAACUGUCGGUCUUGAGUGCAAAUGAGGUAGGCGGAAUGUGUUGUGUAGCGGUGAAAUGCUUAGAUAUAACACAGAACUCCGAUUGCGAAGGCAGCUUACUGGGAUGCAACUGACACUGAUGCACGAAAGCGUGGGUAUCAAACAGGAUUAGAAACCCUGGUAGUCC